rnacentral:rRNA from 1 species
CAUGCCGUAAACGUUGGGUGCUAGACGUGGGGGCCUUUCCACGGUUUCCGUGUCGUAGCUAACGCAUUAAGCACCCCGCCUGGGGAGUACGGCCGCAAGGCUAAAACUCAAAGGAAUUGACGGGGGCCCGCACAAGCGGCGGAGCAUGCGGAUUAAUUCGAUGCAACGCGAAGAACCUUACCAGGUCUUGACAUCCCGAUGACCGCUCUAGAGAUAGAGUUUUCCCUUCGGGGACAUUGGUGACAGGUGG